UACACUCCUGCGGGAGGCAGCAGUGGGGAAUUUUGGACAAUGGGCGAAAGCCUGAUCCAGCAAUGCCGCGUGAGUGAAGAAGGCCUUCGGGUUGUAAAGCUCUUUUGUCAGGGAAGAAACGGUGAAAGCUAAUAUCUUUUGCUAAUGACGGUACCUGAAGAAUAAGCACCGGCUAACUACGUGCCAGCAGCCGCGGUGAUACGUAGGGUGCAAGCGUUAAUCGGAAUUACUGGGCGUAAAGCGUGCGCAGGCGGUUUUGUAAGUCUGAUGUGAAAUCCCCGGGCUCAACCUGGGAAUUGCAUUGGAGACUGCAAGGCUAGAACCUGGCAGAGGGGGGUAGAAUUCCACGUGUAGCAGUGAAAUGCGUAGAUAUGUGGAGGAACACCGAUGGCGAAGGCAGCCCCCUGGGUCAAGAUUGACGCUCAUGCACGAAAGCGUGGGGAGCAAACAGGAUUAGAUACCCGAGUAGUCCC
rnacentral:rRNA from 1 species